CCCUUAGAUGUUCUGGGCAGCACGCGCGCUACAAUGGUCUUCGCAAACGGAUGCAUUCUCGAAGGAGAAUGCCAAUCUUGGAAUCUAUGCCUUGGUCGGGACAGUUGCUUGCAAUUUUUCGACUCGAACCAGGAAUUCCUUGUAAUCGUGAUUCAUCACAUCACGAUGAAUACGUCCCCGCCCUUUGUACACACCACCCGUCGCUCCUACCGAUCGAAGAGUUAGGUGAAUUGUUUUGAUCGAUAAGAUUUGACUAUGGUCAACUCUCGUUGUGAAAUUCUGUGAAUCUGACUGUUUAGAGGAAGGAAAAGUCGUAACA
rnacentral:rRNA from 1 species